rnacentral:tRNA from 1 species
GGGCUCGUAGUCGAGUGGUUAAGACGCUUCGUUUACACCGAAGAAAUCCGGAGUUCAAUUCUCCGCGGGCCCA